CGUACAUACGAGUUUGAUCCUGGCUCAGAACGAACGCUGGCGGCAUGCCUAACACAUGCAAGUCGAACGAAGGCUUCGGCCUUAGUGGCGCACGGGUGCGUAACGCGUGGGAACCUGCCCCUCGGUUCGGAAUAACAGUUAGAAAUGACUGCUAAUACCGGAUGAUGACUUCGGUCCAAAGAUUUAUCGCCGAGGGAUGGGCCCGCGUAGGAUUAGCUAGUUGGUGGGGUAAAGGCCUACCAAGGCGACGAUCCUUAGCUGGUCUGAGAGGAUGAUCAGCCACACUGGGACUGAGACACGGCCCAGACUCCUACGGGAGGCAGCAGUGGGGAAUAUUGGACAAUGGGCGAAAGCCUGAUCCAGCAAUGCCGCGUGAGUGAUGAAGGCCUUAGGGUUGUAAAGCUCUUUUACCAGGGAUGAUAAUGACAGUACCUGGAGAAUAAGCUCCGGCUAACUCCGUG
rnacentral:rRNA from 1 species